CUGCACUCCAGCCUGGGCGACAGAGAGAGACUCCGUCUCGAAAAAAAAAGAGUACAAGGCAAUAAAAUUCUCUGUGAUGGUCCGGGGUGGACUGUUCACUGCAGGAAGAUCUUUGCAAAUAUCGGGGCGGGGGGUUUUCUACCACAGAUGCAUUUUAAAAUGGGCACCUGUGGGCAAGGCAUUAGCAAUGAAUUGAAAUACAGUGCAUAACUUACUUUUUGUUUUGUUUGCUCUGAAUUUCAUUGCUGCUUAUUAUGGUACCUUUGUGUGAAGGAUAAUUUAGAGGAGGUAGGAGAUACAAGGGAAAGGAAAGGAGAAAGGGGUACCAGAAUCGGGAGGCAAAUGGUUGAGCAGGGCCGUACCUGUUCCUAUUUGUUAUGAGUUGUGCCUCCCACUUGGGGCUAAUUCUCCAUUAACAUUGUGUUUUCUCGAUGGGACUCUCCAGGGUGGCUUAGGAUAGCAGCUCUCUUCGAGUCAGCCCAUGGAUGCUGUUUCAGCUCAGUGGAGGACUUCAGAAGCAAGCUGAAAUGGAAUUGGUGUACCAGUAGGGGGAUGGGAAGAAAGGACACUAGUGAAAGAAAUGUGGACGGGUGUGUCUUCAGGUAUAUUAACAGGUCCAGAGCAUGGAGUCCCCAGCAGAAAAUGCACAGAUGCCAUUGCAAAAGGCAGGAGGCGCAGAAAUGAACGUGAUCCACCAAAAAUAAAAGUGACCUUUGGACUGCCAGAAGAUUCACGUGAAACCUCACAUAAAAUCAGCAUGUGAAGACAGAGAGGAUGUUGGUGAUCACCAGAAUCUGUUCAUUUUUCCUUUGAAGAUACUUAAAGGAAGUAUGUGUAUGUUUACAGAUGCUUUGUAGUUUUAAAUUUAUGCUGGACAUUGCAUAAAAUGGAAAAUAGAGGUUAAAGUAAUAUUUGCUCCCAACAAAGGACCAUCCUACAGGAAGCUGAGUAAGUAUAAUCUGAAGUUAAAGUGAGCCUGGGGUAUUUUGUGUUUUUGGUUUUUUUUUUUUUUUUUGCAGUUUUAGUUAGAUUCCGAUCACCAUGGGCUUCAGAUGUUUUGACAGCGGGAUCAAGAUGUUCUCCUCAGCAAAGCUUAGGAUAUGACACCUGCAAGAGCACAGAGAUCUCCUUAUGCUUUUUAUCUAGCCACCAGUUUUACAAACCAUGGCGAUCCCUGUCGUUGGUAUUGGAGUGUUACUGCUCCUAGGCCCUCUUUGUGGACAGAG
rnacentral:lncRNA from 1 species